UACGUAGGCAGCGAGCGUUGUUCGGAGUUACUGGGCGUAAAGAGUGCGUAGGCGGUGACCUAAGUCUGGUGUGAAAUCUCCCGGCUCAACUGGGAGGGUGCGUCGGAAACUGGGUUGCUUGAGUGUGGGAGAGGCUAGCGGAAUUCCUGGUGUAGCGGUGAAAUGCGUAGAGAUCAGGAGGAACACCUGCGGUGUAGACGGCUGGCUGGACCACGACUGACGCUGAGGCACGAAAGCGUGGGGAGCAAACAGG
rnacentral:rRNA from 1 species